AACGAACGCUGGCGGCGUGCCUAACACAUGCAAGUCGAACGCGAAAAACAGUAAUGUUGAGUAGAGUGGCGCACGGGUGAGUAACACGUAACUGACAUGUCCUAGAGACAGGAAUAACCGUUCGAAAGGAUGGCUAAUACCUGGUAAGCCCACGAUGUUUGGCAUUGAGGGAAAAGGAUCGGGACCUUUCGAGGCCGGUCGCUUUAGGAGUGGGUUGCGGCCCAUCAGCUAGUUGGCGGGGAAAAGCCCACCAAGGCUAAGACGGGUAGCUGGUCUGAGAGGAUGAUCAGCCACACUGGAACUGAGACACGGUCCAGACUCCUACGGGAGGCAGCAGUGGGGAAUCCUGCGCAAUGGGGGGAAACCCUGACGCAGCAACGCCGCGUGGGUGAUGAAGGUC
rnacentral:rRNA from 1 species